rnacentral:rRNA from 1 species
GACGAACGCUGGCGGCGUGCUUAACACAUGCAAGUCGAACGGAAAGAGAUGAAAGAGCUUGCUCUUUUAUUAAUUUCAGUGGCAAACGGGUGAGUAACACGUAAACAACCUGCCUUAAGGAUGGGGAUAACAGACGGAAACGACUGCUAAUACCGAAUACGUUCUAAGCAUCGCAUGAUGCAUAGAAGAAAGGGUGGCCUCUACAAGAAAGCUAUCGCCUUAAGAGGGGUUUGCGACUGAUUAGGUAGUUGGUGAGGUAACGGCUCACCAAGCCGACGAUCAGUAGCCGGUCUGAGAGGAUGAACGGCCACACUGGAACUGAGACACGGUCCAGACUCCUACGGGAGGCAGCAGUGGGGAAUCUUCCGCAAUGGACGAAAGUCUGACGGAGCAACGCCGCGUGAACGAAGAAGGUCUUCGGAUUGUAAAGUUCUGUGAUUCGGGACGAAAGGGUUUGUGGUGAAUAAUCAUAGACAUU